CCUACGGGUGGCAGCAGUAGGGAAUAUUCGGCAAUGGGGGGAACCCUGACCGAGCAACGCCGCGUGAAGGAAGAAGGAAUUCGGUCGGGACACUUCUGUUAUAAAGGAAGAAAGACGGAUGGAGGAAAUGACAUCCGAGUGACGGUACUUUAUGAGAAAGCCACGGCGAACGACGUGCCAGCAGCCGCGGUAAUACGUAGGUGGGAAGCGUUAUCCGGAAUAAUUGGGCGUAAAGAGGGAGCAGGGGGCAGCAAAGGUCUGUGGUGAAAGACUGAAGCUUAACUUCAGUAAGCCAUAGAAACCGGGCAGCUAGUGUGCAGGAGAGGAUCGUGGAAUUCCAUGUGGAGCGGUGAAAUGCGUAGAUAUAUGGAGGAACACCAGUGGCGAAGGCGACGAUCUGGCCUGCAACUGACGCUCAGUCCCGAAAGCGUGGGGAGCAAAUAGGAUUAGAUACCCUUGUAGUC
rnacentral:rRNA from 1 species